CUUAAAGGUCAGUCUCACUCCCACUGUGCCACCCCAACAGCAUUGAGUGUAUUUGCAGGAAGCUGGUGGCCAGGGCUGAGAACUUGCCCCAGACUAUGAGCCACUGCAUUGAGAAAGCAAGCAGACUUGCAGUUUUUCAGUGUCUCAGGGAGCCUGCAGCAGCGAUCCAGUUCCCUCAAAGGGGAGCCUGAGUGCAUGCCUAACAAGAUUCAGGGAUGAGAGGAAGAAAAGGAAGCCAGGGCUUCUCGAAAGCUGACUUCUAUCUCGUGCUGGGCAGGUUCACUGAAG
rnacentral:lncRNA from 1 species